UACGGAGGGUGCAAGCGUUAUCCGGAUUCACUGGGUUUAAAGGGUGCGUAGGUGGGCAGGUAAGUCAGUGGUGAAAUCUCCGGGCUUAACCCGGAAACUGCCAUUGAUACUAUCUGUCUUGAAUACCGUGGAGGUGAGCGGAAUAUGUCAUGUAGCGGUGAAAUGCUUAGAUAUGACAUAGAACACCGAUUGCGAAGGCAGCUGACGAAACUAUAACUGACACUGAGGCUCGAAAGUGUGGGGAGCAAACAGG
rnacentral:rRNA from 1 species